GACCAACGCUGGCGGCGUGCUUAACACAUGCAAGUCGAACGGAAAGGCCCUGCUUUUGUGGGGUGCUCGAGUGGCGAACGGGUGAGUAACACGUGAGUAACCUGCCCUUGACUUUGGGAUAACUUCAGGAAACUGGGGCUAAUACCGGAUAGGAGCUCCUGCUGCAUGGUGGGGGUUGGAAAGUUUCGGCGGUUGGGGAUGGACUCGCGGCUUAUCAGCUUGUUGGUGGGGUAGUGGCUUACCAAGGCUUUGACGGGUAGCCGGCCUGAGAGGGUGACCGGCCACAUUGGGACUGAGAUACGGCCCAGACUCCUACGGGAGGCAGCAGUGGGGAAUAUUGCACAAUGGGCGGAAGCCUGAUGCAGCAACGCCGCGUGCGGGAUGACGGCCUUCGGGUUGUAAACCGCUUUCGCCUGUGACGAAGCGUGAGUGACGGUAAUGGGUAAAGAAACACCGGCUAACUACGUG
rnacentral:rRNA from 1 species